AGAUUGAGGCCAUUGGAGGCUGUUUGGUUGGUGUUCUAGACGUUGCAAGGUUGAGGAACUUGUCGUCAGCAAGAUACUGUCGCUGAGAAAGAGGCAGGUGGUUGAAGAUUUCGUGACUGGAUUCUGUUGCUGAGACAUUGAUUUACAGAACGACAGAUCUGCUCGUAAGGACAUUAUCGUAUCAUCAAGUUGGUGAGCCCCACGUACUUCAAGGUGUUGUCUUUACUUUCCAGUAGUCAUGUCAUAUUAGACAGUCAGGUAUGCUGGAGGCCUUGUCCCAGCGACAGUUUACUAUUUCAGACUCAUGUCAAAGGUUUCAUAGACUAGUCAGUAAGUCAUAUUGGGUAUUCAGUUAUGUCAGCCUUGUGGGCUAUACUAUCAUGUUGUCAGAAUAUUUCCGCACUUAUGUUUUAAACAGUAU